rnacentral:rRNA from 1 species
UCCGGUGGUCAUGGCGGAGGGGAAACACCCGGUCUCUUUCCGAACCCGGUAGUUAAGCCCUCCAGCGCCGAUGGUACUGCAUGGGAGACCGUGUGGGAGAGUAGGACACCGCCGGAA